ACAAAAAAGGAGACUUUGUAGGGCGCAUGGGCCGGAUGGGCGGCCCAAUUCACCUGGGUCACUUCGGUCACAAUAGCCAGAAACAUUUGAAAUUCAAAAGUAGAACGUCAUUGCAACCACUAGCUUUCGUUGUAUCAUUAGUGUCAGCUU
ensembl:ncRNA W03G11.7 ncRNA